CUGGCGCAAAUUUCUUUUACGUUGAGUCCAAUGUGGAUUUGCAUAUUUACAUAUAUGGACAUAUUAAUUUCCCCCCUUUACACUGGGGGGACUAAUUAAUGGGCAAAAUUACGGUAUUUGAGCUUUUAUUUUCAAAUGUCAUCUAGUUCAAGGACACCAUUCGUUGUAGAUGACUUCACGUGUACCAAUUUAAACAGAGAGAGUGUGAAUGGAGAUACAAGUGGACAGAUCACAAUGUCUUCUGGAGGAGCUCCUGAGAUUGAUCCUGAUGCUGAUUUUGUAUACGACUAUCACACCCUGCGCGU